rnacentral:lncRNA from 13 species
CACCUGGCCGGGGCAGGGGGAGCUGCGAGGAGCCAUUUUUUUCUUAUGCAGAGCCUCUUCCUUGACGCACAUUAGGCACUCAAUACAUGUUUAUUUUCAGUUGAGUGUUGCUUCAACUUUUAUGGCUUGUGAUGAAUCCUUAUCCUUCUGUUCUAGAAACUCGCAUUGCCUACUGGAUCAAGGACAGACAGCCCACCAACCACGACAGCACCAUACUGGAACUUCAAAAAGUUCUGAAAACAUGUUGAGUUCUGUGACCCUCUCUAGCAAAUUAAGCAAACCCGAGGAGAGCAUCAUGGGAACCUUGAUUUAUGGCAGGUCAGUCAGAAGCACAGCUUACAACUGGGCAUCUGAAGUAGACGGCAGUCUUGGGAGCCCGAGCUCUCAAACUGUGGGAUCUGACACCGUCUCCAGACAGAGGCUCGCUGCGUUGCCCAGUCUGGAGUGCAAUGGCGCAAUUGUGGCUCACUGCAACCUCCACCUGUUGGUUUCAAGCAAUUCUCCUGCGUCAGCCUCCUGAGUAGCUGGGACUACAGGCGCAUACCACUGCAUCCAGCUAAUUUUUGUUGUAUUUUUAGUAGAAACAGGGUUUCACCAUAUUGGCCAGGCUGGUCUCAAAGUCCUGACCUCAGGUGAUCUGCCCGCCUCGGCCUCUCAAACUGCUGGGAUUACAGGGGUGAGCCACUGCACCCAGCGGAGAGCUUUCUUGACACAUCAUAACAUGUCAGAGAAGCGCAAAGGGGAAGUGAACACAUGUGAAGAGGCAAAACCCAAGGGGCAUCCUGGCUUUAUAAAAUCCUACUCUUGUGGGAACUAAUUCAUUCCUAAGGGAAUGAAUCCAGUUUUUAAAGAGGGAGAACUCACUCACUACUGUGAGAAUGGCCCCAAGCCAUUUGUGAGCUAUCUGCUCCCAUGACCCAAACACAUUCCAUUAGGCUCCACCUCCCAACAUGCCACAUGGGAAUCAAAUUUCAACAUGAGUUUUGAUGAGGACAAACUAUAUCCAAAGUAUAGCAUUCUGUGAUUCAACAACUUCAUCCCUAGACAUUUCAUUUCAAGAGAAAUGAAAGCUUAUGAGUAUAUGAAGACUUGUACACCAAUGUUCUUACUGACUUUAUGCAUAAUAGCCCCAAACAGGAAACAGCCAAAUGUGCGUAAACAAGUGAGUAGAUAAACUGUGGCACAUCCAUACAAGGAAAUACUACUUAGCAAUAAAAAAGAAUAAAUCCUUCA